GAGGAAUAUUGGUCAAUGGGCGAGAGCCUGAACCAGCCAAGUCGCGUGAAGGAAGACUGCCUUAUGGGUUGUAAACUUCUUUUAUACAGGAAUAAAAAGGCUUACGUGUAGGCCAUUGCAAGUACUGUAUGAAUAAGCAUCGGCUAACUCCGUGCCAGCAGCCGCGGUAAUACGGAGGAUGCGAGCGUUAUCCGGAUUUAUUGGGUUUAAAGGGUGCGCAGGCGGGCUUUUAAGUCAGCGGUGAAAUCUGGACGCUUAACGUCCAAACUGCCGGUGAAACUGGGAGUCUUGAGUAUGGAUGAAGUGCGGGGAAUUUCUUGGUGUGCGGGUACCAGCAUAGAUAUAACGAGGAACUCCGAUUGCGUAGGCAGCUUACUAAGCCAUAACUGACGCUCAUGCACGAAAGCGUGGGGAUCAAACA
rnacentral:rRNA from 1 species